rnacentral:rRNA from 1 species
UACCAGCACCCCGAGUGGUCGGGACGAUUAUUGGGCCUAAAGCAUCCGUAGCCGGUCAUGCAAGUCCUCCGUUAAAUCCACCUGCUUAACAGAUGGGCUGCGGAGGAUACUACAAGGCUAGGAUGCGGAAGAGGCAAGCGGUACUCAGUGGGUAGGGGUAAAAUCCUCUGAUCCAUUGAAGACCACCAGUGGCGAAGGCGGCUUGCCAGAACGCACUCGACGGUGAGGGAUGAAAGCUGGGGGAGCAAACCGG